GCUGCUGCGUCCAAGCUGGGUGCUCUCCGAGCGCAGGGAGGCAGGCUGCGAUCGGCGGGGCGCAGCUGGGGGAGCCCGGGCCGGCGAACCUGCGCGCGAUCUCCGCGGGUCCCCGGCGCCGAGGCCAGGACGGCCGGCGCUUUGGCCUUGGAUGGAAAUGGGGACUGGUCCUCCGGGCCCUCUACCGUGGAUUACUUGGUGCAUCUCUGCCGGGCUUGAUGAACCACGACCUCGUCUCCAUCCGUGGAUUGGUGCGUGCUACCCAAUAGUCGGGUCGUUUCCCUGGAGCCUAAGGAUCUCCAGUGAUUUCUUUGAGCCUAAUGAUGGGGAAGCUGAGAAUGGAGCUAUUAUUUUUAAACACCUUUUGAAAUACUACUCUUCCUGGUUUAUGAAGUGAAAUCAGAGGGCUGUGGCUGACCUGAAUAGAUGCAUAGAUGCUUUGAACCAAGAAAGCAGGACAAGUUGAAAGGCGAGCUGCACCCCGAAAUCAAGGUAUGGCCGCAGCCCCGAAGCCCCCCUGGCUUUGGAUUUCUUCUCCUUCCAUGUCAUAUCUGGUUGC
rnacentral:lncRNA from 1 species